UGGGAACACGGUUUCGCCUAAAGUGCCUU
rnacentral:piRNA from 1 species